CCCUUUGGGUGUGACUGCGUACCUUUUGUAUAAUGGGUCAGCGACUUAUAUUCUGUAGCAAGGUUAACCGAAUAGGGGAGCCGGAGGGAAACCGAGUCUUAACCGGGCGUUAAGUUGCAGGGUAUAGACCCGAAACCCGGUGAUCUAGCCAUGGGCAGGUUGAAGGUUGGGUAACACUAACUGGAGGACCGAACCGACUAAUGUUGAAAAAUUAGCGGAUGACCUGUGGCUGGGGGUGAAAGGCCAAUCAAACCGGGAGAUAGCUGGUUCUCCCCGAAAGCUAUUUAGGUAGCGCCUCGUGAAUUCAUCUCCGGGGGUAGAGCACUGUUUCGGCUAGGGGGCCAUCCCGGCUUACCAACCCGAUGCAAACUGCGAAUACCGGAGAAUGUUAUCACGGGAGACACACGGCGGGUGCUAACGUCCGUCGUGAAGAGGGAAACAACCCAGACCGCCAGCUAAGGUCCCAAAGUCAUGGUUAAGUGGGAAACGAUGUGGGAAGGCCCAGACAGCCAGGAUGUUGGCUUAGAAGCAGCCAUCAUUUAAAGAAAGCGUAAUAGCUCACUGGUCGAGUCGGCCUGCGCGGAAGAUGUAACGGGGCUAAACCAUGCACCGAAGCUGCGGCAGCGACACUGUGUGUUGUUGGGUAGGGGAGCGUUCUGUAAGCCUGUGAAGGUGUGUCGUGAGGCAUGCUGGAGGUAUCAGAAGUGCGAAUGCUGACAUAAGUAACGAUAAAGCGGGUGAAAAGCCCGCUCGCCGGAAGACCAAGGGUUCCUGUCCAACGUUAAUCGGGGCAGGGUGAGUCGACCCCUAAGGCGAGGCCGAAAGGCGUAGUCGAUGGGAAACGGGUUAAUAUUCCCGUACUUGGUGUUACUGCGAAGGGGGGACGGAGAAGGCUAUGUUGGCCGGGCGACGGUU
rnacentral:rRNA from 3 species